GCUCUGGUGGCCUAGUGGUUAGAGCGUUUGCCUUGGAUGCAGGAGGUCGUGUGUUCAAUCCUCGGUCAAGCCA